CCUACGGAAGGCAGCAGUGGGGAAUAUUGGACAAUGGGGGCAACCCUGAUCCAGCCAUGCCGCGUGAGUGAUGACGGCCUUAGGGUUGUAAAGCUCUUUUCUCCGGGACGAUAAUGACGGUACCGGAGGAAUAAGCCCCGGCUAACUUCGUGCCAGCAGCCGCGGUAAUACGAAGGGGGCUAGCGUUGCUCGGAAUCACUGGGCGUAAAGGGCGCGUAGGCGGCUGAUUUAGUCGAGGGUGAAAGCCCGUGGCUCAACCACGGAAUGGCCUUCGAUACUGGUUGGCUUGAGACCGGAAGAGGACAGCGGAACUGCGAGUGUAGAGGUGAAAUUCGUAGAUAUUCGCAAGGACACCAGUGGCGAAGGCGGCUGUCUGGUCCGGUUCUGACGCUGAGGCGCGAAAGCGUGGGGAGCAAACAGGAUUAGAUACCCUGGUAGUCCACGCUGUAAACGAUGAAUGCUAGCCGUUGGGGUGCAUGCACCUCAGUGCGCCGCUACGUACCUACGUACAUCCGUCCGUCGGGAGGUACGGUCGCGAAGAAGUUAAACGUUAACGAAACGGUAAAGUUAGUACGGUUCGUUGUAGACGUUGCCGACGGACGACCGACGAGGGAGGAGG
rnacentral:rRNA from 1 species